CAGCCGUAAACAAUGUGCGUUAGGUGUGUCGGUAACCACGCGUUACUGAUGCGCCGAAGAGAAAUCGUGAAACGCACCACCUGGGAAGUACGGUCGCAAGGCUGAAACUUAAAGGAAUUGGCGGGGGAGCACCACAACGGGAGGAGCGUGCGGUUUAAUUGGAUUCAACACCGUAAAACUCACCAGGGAAGACUGUUACAUGAAGGCCGAGAUGAAGACUCUGCUAGAUUUUCAGAGAGGUGGUGCAUGGCGUCAGUGACU
rnacentral:rRNA from 1 species